CGGCGAAGUGAAGCGGCAACAGCUUCAAAUUUUGAAAUCUGGCUCUUUCAGAGUCCGAGUUGUAAUUUGCAGAGGGCGCUUUGGCUUUGGCAGCGGUCCAAGUUCCUUGGAACAGGACGUCACAGAGGGUGAGAAUCCCGUACGUGGUCGCUAGCUAUUGCCGUGUAAAGCCCCUUCGACGAGUCGAGUUGUUUGGGAAUGCAGCUCUAAAUGGGAGGUAAAUUUCUUCUAAAGCUAAAUAUUGGCCAGAGACCGAUAGCGCACAAGUAGAGUGAUCGAAAGAUGAAAAGCACUUUGGAAAGAGAGUCAAACAGCACGUGAAAUUGUUGAAAGGGAAGCGCUUGCAGCCAGACUUGCUUGCAGUUGCUCAUCCGGGCUUUUGCCCGGUGCACUCUUCUGCAGGCAGGCCAGCAUCAGUUUGGGCGGUGGGAUAAAGGUCUCUGUCACGUACCUCUCUUCGGGGAGGCCUUAUAGGGGAGGCGACAUACCACCAGCCUGGACUGAGGUCCGCGCAUCUGCUAGGAUGCUGGCGUAAUGGCUGUAAGCGGC
rnacentral:rRNA from 1 species